UCAAACUCUAGCUUCUACCACUAUUUUGAAUCCGCCCAGACUUUUACAUUUUACAGUCAAAAAUGGUAGUGGUAAAGGGAAGCAAGAGGGUAUUGCCCAUUGGAUUUGUAAUGGUAGGUUGAAUUUGAAUAGUACCUUUUGGAGUAGGUUGAGUUUGAAUAGAUCAAAAAUCUGUUACCAAGAAUGGUGAGGGCUUGGAUUAUGUGUUAAUUAAACAGUUCAACGGACCAGUAAGACAUGUUACUUCGGUAGAGAUUACUAUGACCCGGAAUCAAUUUAUGUACUUCAACCUUGAGGACAAGGUUCCUUUGGAGGAGUGGAGUGUUCUAAGGGCCUAGUCCGAUACUGUUAAAUCUCUUAGGGUUUAUGCACAUUGGUUUGAAUCCUAACAUUCCUGAUGUAAUGUUGGGAGUAGUCAGUAGUUAAUAAUGACAACUCACUAGGGCUUGCCCAAAACUUAUAAUUAGUCAGUAGUUAGUUAGCAAACCUAUAACAGAAAAACUCCAAUAAUGUUGAGUAACUCUGUUGUACUUUUUGAGAUUCAGAUGCCUAGUGCGUUGGCUAGGUGACAGAGAGGAUUAUCCUCUGAUUAGUUAUUCUUGUUUUUUCAAAUAAAUCCUUGUUCUAGAUUUCUGGUAGCCUAACAGAAUUUGAGGACAAUUUGGAGGAAUCUGAAAGAGAAGAGUCAGAGGCGUAUGCCUCAUUAAACGACAAAUAAAAUGACUAUGUUGGGGUUAAAGUUUAGACAUUUACGUUAUGUUUGUGUUCUGUUCUAUCAUUUUGUUGUUAGUUGGAGUCUUGAACUUGAUAGUCAUAAGACAUAUUAGUAGCUUAUGCUACGUUAUGAUGAGACUUGUGAUAUUUUCUAUCCGUUUCGUUUAUUCUUAGCAUAUGUUAGUUUUUGCAAUUAUUUUCUGGAGUAUGUGUAUAUAACACAUACACAAAUAUCCAUCAUGCUUGCAUCACAGGCUGCAAAGCCAUCUGCCAUACGUAGCGGAUUUUUGACUGUCUGUCAUGAUCAGCCAUCUUACAUUUUUGCUUGUCAAAGGGUCUUAUAUUGUCAUAUCUGCACUGCACUAUUUUAGUUGAAAAGAAAAAUUAAUUUUUGGAGCUAAACUUGGAAGGUGUUUAUAAUUCAAUAAUAUUCAGAAAAUGAGUUCAUGAGAUCUUGUUAUCUUUGACUUUUUUUUCCUUCUAAUCAAGUGCUUCUCUCAUGUGCUACUACUCAUAUUAUACUCUGAUCUUGGUUUUCAAAUGAUCCAGGCUGAAGAGUGUUAUCUAUCACUUCAGAGAUAAUAGAGAAUUUCCUCGUUUAAGAAUUGGGAUUGGGAAGCCUCCUGGGCAAAUGGAUCCUAAAGCGUUUUUGCUUCAAAAGUUUAAUGUAACAGCUAGACAACGAAUUGAUGAGGCUUUGCACGAGGGGGUUGAUGCCUUGAAGCUCCUUCUAUUUAAAGGUCUGGAUGUGAGUGCAAAAAGGUUCAACAAAGAGCAGAAAUAUAAGCACUUAAGAGUACAGACAUUACCAGUUUGACUGGAUUCCGUGAUGGGAUGUUGCAUUAUAAGUAUGGUUAGUUCCUCCUUUUUAAGGUUGCAAUAAAUUGCCUCGGUUCUUAUUGAUGUGUAAAACGUAAGGAUAAAAUGGGCUGAAUUUUGUAAAGAUCUCUCAAGUAUGUAUAUUAUAUAUAGCUUUUCAAGUGGUUUUUGUAACUUUUCCCCAUCUUGGCUUGUUUUAAUUUGGAUAUUGUCUUUGUUCA